rnacentral:rRNA from 1 species
AACGGCCGCGGUAUCCUAACCGUGCGAAGGUAGCGUAAUCACUUGUUCUUUAAAUGAGGACUAGUAUGAAUGGCACCACGAGGGUUAAACUGUCUCCUUUUUUUAAUCAGUGAAACUAAUCUCCCCGUGAAGAAGCGAGGAUUCUUUUAUAAGACGAGAAGACCCUAUGGAGCUUUAAACAAGUUAACACCUGCUACUAAUCUUCACUUUCCUGAACCACCACAUUAAGUAUAGCACCUCUGAUUAACAGUUUUCGAUUGGGGUGAUCAUGGAGCAAAAAUCAACCUCCACGACGAAAAGGAACACCUCCUUGAGCCAAAAGCUACAACUUUAAGCACUAAAAAACUAACGCACUUUGACCCAAUUCUUUGAGCAACGAACCAAGUUACCCUAGGGAUAACAGCGCAAUCCACUUUAAGAGCUCCUAUCGACAAGUGGGUUUACGACCUCGAUGUUGGAUCAGGGUAUCCCAGUGGUG